GUACUUGCUUCAGCAGCACAUAUAUUAAAAUUGGAACGAUACAGAAAUUAGCAUGGUACAAGGGUGACGUGCAAAUUUGUGAAGUAUUCCAUAUUUAG
rnacentral:snRNA from 1 species